CUUAUAGAUGGACCCGCGCCGUAUUAGCUAGUUGGUAAGGUAACGGCUUACCAAGGCAACGAUACGUAGCCGACCUGAGAGGGUGAUCGGCCACACUGGAACUGAGACACGGUCCAGACUCCUACGGGAGGCAGCAGUAGGGAAUCUUCCGCAAUGGGCGAAAGCCUGACGGAGCAACGCCGCGUGAGUGAUGAAGGUCUUAGGAUCGUAAAACUCUGUUGUUAGGGAAGAACAAAUUUGUUAGUAACUGAACAAGUCUUGACGGUGCCUAACCAGAAAGCCACGGCUAACUACGUGCCAGCAGCCGCGGUAAUACGUAGGUGGCAAGCGUUAUCCGGAAUUAUUGGGCGUAAAGCGCGCGUAGGCGGUUUCUUAAGUCUGAUGUGAAAGCCCACGGCUCAACCGUGGAGGGUCAUUGGAAACUGGGGAACUUGAGUGCAGAAGAGGAGAGUGGAAUUCCAUGUGUAGCGGUGAAAUGCGCAGAGAUAUGGAGGAACACCAGUGGCGGAGGCGGCUCUCUGGUCUGUAACUGACGCUGAUGUGCGAAAGCGUGGGGAUCAAACAGGAUUAGAUACCCUGGUAGUCCACGCCGUAAACGAUGAGUGCUAAGUGUUGG
rnacentral:rRNA from 1 species